rnacentral:tRNA from 1 species
AGGCGGUAUGGCCAAGUGGUAAGGCAAAGGAUUGCAAAUCCUUCACCCCCCAGUUCGAAUCUGGGUGCCGCCUU